rnacentral:lncRNA from 1 species
AAUUAAUGUUAAAAAAAAAAAAGCCUUUGAAAUGAAAAUGGUGAAACUUCAAAUUAACCUACUUGUAGUGUUUUUAUUUCAGGUUUCAUUUGGGAAUUGAAAGAACUGUUAAAUUGCUGGCUCUUUGUUACAUUUUCAGGAUAUGAAGAGAAAUAUUACUUUUGGCAGUAGGAAACGUUUAUGCACUGAGUCGGCUAGGCAAGCCAUUCCUGCCUGUGAUGUUGACAGCAAAACUGCUGAAUGUGGAUUGUCUGGGAUUUGA